UUCUAAAAUGGCAGAAUAGUGCAUUGGAUUUAAACCCCAAAUAUAAAAUAUAAUUUUUUUUAGA
rnacentral:tRNA from 1 species